GCCUACGGGGCGCAGCAGUGGGGAAUAUUGCACAAUGGGGGAAACCCUGAUGCAGCGACGCCGCGUGAGUGAAGAAGUAAUUCGUUAUGUAAAGCUCUAUCAGCAGGGAAGAAAAUGACGGUACCUGAGUAAGAAGCCCCGGCUAACUACGUGCCAGCAGCCGCGGUAAUACGUAGGGGGCAAGCGUUAUCCGGAUUCACUGGGCGUAAAGGGAGCGCAGGCGGCACGGCAAGCCUGGUGUGAAAACCCGGGGCCCAACCCCGGGAGUGCAUUGGGAACUGCCGCGCUAGAGUGCCGGAGGGGGG
rnacentral:rRNA from 1 species